rnacentral:rRNA from 1 species
GGAGGGCGCAAGCGUUGUUCGGAAUUACUGGGCGUAAAGCGCACGCAGGCGGUCUGCUAAGUCCUUUGUGAAAGCCCGGGGCUCAACCCCGGAAUUGCAUCGGAUACUGGCAGACUGGAGACUGGUAGAGGCUAGCGGAAUUCCUGGUGUAGCGGUGGAAUGCGUAGAUAUCAGGAAGAACACCUGUGGCGAAGGCGGCUAGCUGGGCCAGUUCUGACGCUCAUGUGCGAAAGCGUGGGGAGCAAACAGGAUUAGAUACCCUGGUAGUCCACGCCCGUAAACGAUGGGCACUAGAUGCCCGGGCAUAUAGACGUGUUCGGUGUCGCAGCUAACGCAUUAAGUGCCCCCGCCUGGGGAGUACGGUCGCAAGGCUG